UACGUAGGGUGCGAGCGUUGUCCGGAAUUACUGGGCGUAAAGAGCUCGUAGGUGGUUUGUCGCGUUGUUCGUGAAAUCUCACGGCUUAACUGUGAGCGUGCGGGCGAUACGGGCAGACUUGAGUACUGCAGGGGAGACUGGAAUUCCUGGUGUAGCGGUGGAAUGCGCAGAUAUCAGGAGGAACACCGGUGGCGAAGGCGGGUCUCUGGGCAGUAACUGACGCUGGAGGAGCGAAAAGCGUGGGGAGA
rnacentral:rRNA from 1 species